rnacentral:misc_RNA from 1 species
UCCUCUUUACAGAGGCAGUUCGUUUCGAGUUCCCGGCUUUACCCGCUGGUAACAAAACGUGAGGGUUGCGCUCGUUGCGGGACUUAACCCAACAUUUCACAACACGAGCUGACGACAGCCAUGCACCACCUGUGUAUCACCUUCGAAAGCGUUCGCUUUUCGGCGACUUGCAGAUACAUGUCAAGCCCUGGUAAGGUUCUUCGCGUUGCAUCGAAUUAAGCCACAUGCUCCACCGCUUGUGCGGGCCCCCGCCAAUUCCUUUGAGUUUCAACCUUGCGGCCGUAGUCCCCAGGCGGUUCACUUAAUGCGUUAGCUGCGGCACCGAGGGGAACCCCCCAACACCUAGUGAACAUCGUUUAUGGCUAAGACUAC